GACGAACGCUGGCGGCGCGCUUAACACAUGCAAGUCGAGCGAUGAAAUCUUAACAGAACCCUUCGGGGCGAAGAUAAGACGGAUUAGCGGCGGACGGGUGAGUAACACGUGAGUAACCUGCCUUUUACACAGGGAUAGCCUCGGGAAACCGGGAUUAAAACCUGAUGAAACUAUCAAAUCACAUGAUUAAGAAAGUUAAAACUCCGGUGGUAAAAGAUGGACUCGCGUCCCAUUAGCUAGUUGGUGAAGGUAACGGCCCACCAAGGCAACGAUGGGUAGCCGGCCUGAGAGGGUGAACGGCCACAUUGGAACUGAGAAACGGUCCAAACUCCUACGGGAGGCAGCAGUGGGGAAUAUUGCACAAUGGGGGAAACCCUGAUGCAGCGACGCCGCGUGAGCGAAGAAGGCCUUCGGGUCGUAAAGCUCUUUUAUAUGGGAAGAUAAUGACGGGUACCAUAAGAAAGAGCCCCGGCU
rnacentral:rRNA from 1 species